rnacentral:rRNA from 1 species
AACGAACGCUGGCGGCAGGCUUAACACAUGCAAGUCGAGCGCCCCGCAAGGGGAGCGGCAGACGGGUGAGUAACGCGUGGGAAUCUACCCAUCUCUACGGAAUAACGCAUGGAAACGUGUGCUAAUACCGUAUACGUCCUUCGGGAGAAAGAUUUAUCGGAGAUGGAUGAGCCCGCGUUGGAUUAGCUAGUUGGUGGGGUAAAGGCCUACCAAGGCGACGAUCCAUAGCUGGUCUGAGAGGAUGAUCAGCCACACUGGGACUGAGACACGGCCCAGACUCCUACGGGAGGCAGCAGUGGGGAAUAUUGGACAAUGGGCGCAAGCCUGAUCCAGCCAUGCCGCGUGAGUGAUGAAGGCCCUAGGGUUGUAAAGCUCUUUCACCGGUGAAGAUAAUGACGGUAACCGGAGAAGAAGCCCCGGCUAACUUCGUGCCAGCAGCCGCGGUAAAAC